AUAAGACAAAAUCUUUGAUGCCUAAGGUAUUAGUAUGUUUUACAUUCAUUUAUUGUAUGAAUACAUUAUUAAAAGGAUUGUUUGAAAAAAAGGGAUCUAAGUUUUUGUUGUGGCUUGUGUUUUUUUAAGCCUCAACUAACACGCUUCCUGCAUAAAUCUUCCUGAAAUAAUUUACCUCCCGUGGAAGCACAAGGGUCUAACCAGCACGAACAACACACACGAGCACACAAUGCUGGCUCAGUACAGCAACAUCAAAUGUUUCAUUUAUGCCCUAUUUUGGGCUGCAUUUGCCCAAUCCUUAGGCUGUUGUAAUGGAUUUUCAAGGAUUUUUAGAUCUGAAGAAAAAUAAAGUUCUACUGUGUUCUCACAGCCGAUGGCAAAAUCAUCACCUGGCUUAGCACGCUUUGAUAGCAGGUGAGACAUGAGAGGGUUGACAGUUGAAUACUGAUGUGGUGAAGUGUUGUUUUCUUUAAGUGUGUGGUUUCACAUAUAGUUUGUACAACAAUAUCAAUUUUAGACACUGGCUGAAAUCGAUUGAUGAUUUUUGUUUGUUUGCUUUCUGACUUUCAGACCUUGAAUUCCUCAUCUAAAUAAAAGCUAAGGCCAAUCCUCCAAAGACCUUCUCUGGCUUCUGCAUGUCAUUCAAGAAGAUGACGGGGAAAAGAUGCUGUGACCUGUUUGUUACCUGGACCGUGAGACAAGUGGGAGGCAAGAAAAA